rnacentral:rRNA from 1 species
AACCUUGAGGUUGUGGUGAAAAUUUUGUUUAGUGGGUGUCGUACCUUUUGCAUCAUGAUUCCUUGAAGGAGUUCGGCUAAGUCUGAUGUCUCGAAAGGCGGUGAUUCGGGCUUGCCCUGUUUUUAGAACUUAGGGGUUGGUGGGCAAUCAGAGUUGAGAGGCAGGUUCGGAGGUGAUACGCAUUACGUACCGUCUUAUAGCUAGUUGCCGGAGUUUGGUUUUUGAGCUGUGGCUCUGUUGCUUGGAUGUGACGGGGUUGUCAAGAAGGCCUUUGGGUUGGUGAGUUGGCUAGGUUAGAGGUACCUUGUUUUAGCUUCGUGUUAUGACGAUUGGCUCGAGUUCUCGGCUUUUUGGUUUAGUGCUCUGGUUUAGCUUUAAUGGUUUGUUUCAAAGUGUGAGGUAAUGAGUAGUUUGAGUAGUUUCCUUUUUUCUCGGAGAUCUCCGGUCUGUUUCUCAAAAACAUUUCCAUCAGGAAGGUUUGAUGGUAGUGCCUGCCCAGUGUUUGCAAUAAAUGGCCGCAGUAUCUUGACUGUGCUAAGGUAGCAUAAUCAGUUGCCUUGUAAUUGAAGGAUUGUUUGAAUGGCUUGACCAGGGGAUGUGUCUAGAGGGGGGCUAUUUUUGAAAUUAGGUGGCUGGUGCAGAUCCCAGCGAUUUUUAAUCAGACGGAAAGACCCCGAGAGCUUCGGCAGUUUUGUGCUUACU